GUGGAGCCGUAGCGAAAGCGAGUCUGAAUAGGGCGUUUAGUAUUUGGUCGUAGACCCGAAACCAGGUGAUCUACCCUUGGUCAGGUUGAAGUUCAGGUAACACUGAAUGGAGGACCGAACCGACUUACGUUGAAAAGUGAGCGGAUGAACUGAGGGUAGCGGAGAAAUUCCAAUCGAACCUGGAGAUAGCUGGUUCUCUCCGAAAUAGCUUUAGGGCUAGCCUCAAGUGAUGAUUAUUGGAGGUAGAGCACUGUUUGGACGAGGGGCCCCUCUCGGGUUACCGAAUUCAGACAAACUCCGAAUGCCAAUUAAUUUAACUUGGGAGUCAGAACAUGGGUGAUAAGGUCCGUGUUCGAAAGGGAAACAGCCCAGACCACCAGCUAAGGUCCCAAAAUAUAUGUUAAGUGGAAAAGGAUGUGGCGUUGCCCAGACAACUAGGAUGUUGGCUUAGAAGCAGCCAUCAUUUAAAGAGUGCGUAAUAGCUCACUAGUCGAGUGACACUGCGCCGAAAAUGUACCGGGGCUAAACAUAUUACCGAAGCUGUGGAUUGUCCUUUGGACAAUGGUAGGAGAGCGUUCUAAGGGCGUUGAAGCAUGAUCGUAAGGACAUGUGGAGCGCUUAGAAGUGAGAAUGCCGGUGUGAGUAGCGAAAGACGGGUGAGAAUCCCGUCCACCGAUUGACUAAGGUUUCCAGAGGAAGGCUCGUCCGCUCUGGGUUAGUCGGGUCCUAAGCUGAGGCCGACAGGCGUAGGCGAUGGAUAACAGGUUGAUAUUCCUGUACCACCUAUA
rnacentral:rRNA from 1 species